AGAGUUCUUAAACUUCACCCAUUUCUUCUUUUCUUCUUUCCCACCAAAACCCAUCCUUCCAAAAACGCCAUGAACGUUACUGCUGGCUUUCUCAGUUCUUCUUCCUCUUCCUUCCUCUUCCAACCCUUCAAAUCCCCAAAUUCCAAAAUCUUCAACCCAAACCCCAAAACGCUAACCCUAAUCUGCCGAUCCGAAUCCAAACCCACCAGCAAGCAGAAUCCAAUGCAAGGCAGCAGCGGUAGGCCGACUCCCUCCAGAAACCCUAGGAAGAAGAACUCGUACGGGUCUUCUAGAAGGUCUGUUAUCAAGAAGACAUUCGCCCAGGAGCAGCUUAUCUUCACCUCUCCAAUCUCCGAUAACCCGAUCGUUGCCAUUAUUGGAGGUGGGAUGUCUGGGAUGCUCUGCGCCCUCGGUCUCGAGAAAAGGGGGAUCCGGUCGACGGUUUUCGACACGGGGGUGCACGGGUUGGGAGGGAGAAUGGGAACGAGAAUUAUUGAUCCUCAAUCGUUGGUCUUUGACCAUGCUGCUCAGUUCUUCACAGUGAAUGAUUCUCACUUUCAUGAGUUGGUUGAUGGAUGGAAGGAGAAGGAACUUGUUCGAGAAUGGACAGGGCUGAUUGGGGAGUUGGAAGUGGGUGGUAAUUUUGUGCCGAUUCCUUCCACGUCCUCCAGAUACAUUGGUGUGGAGGGAAUGCGCCCCCUUGCAGAUUCGAUUAUGUCUCAGACUUGUAUGGUUAAUGUGGUGAGACCUUGCUGGAUUAGUAAACUCGAGCCGUUUAAUGGGAUGUGGCACUUGAGUGAGAAUGGAAAACCGUGUGGCCAGUUUGAUGCAAUUGUUAUUGCACACAAUGGAAAAUGCGCAAAUCGGUUGCUUGCAUCAUCUGGUUUACCUCUGAUUGCUAGACAGAUGAAGAGGCUGGAACUGAGUUCUAUCUGGGCACUUCUUGCAGCAUUUGAAGAUCCUCUUCCUAUUUCCGUCAGCACAGAUACAACUCCUUUUGAAGGAGCUUUUGUAAAAGGGGUCGAUGCUGUUUCAUGGAUGGCAAACAACACAAAGAAACUAUUUCCUUUCCAGAGCAAGGGCCCUCAUUGCUGGACCUUUUUCAGCACUGCUGCUUAUGGGAAAAGAAACAAAGUUCCACAGGAAAAUAUUCCAAAUGUCACAGCAGAGAAGGUGAAGGAAGGCAUGCUUGGAGGUGUUGAGAUGGCUCUGGGGCUAUCAAAGGGAUCACUUCAGCGACCCUUCUAUGCAAGAGUCCAAUUAUGGGGUGCAGCUCUUCCAACUAAUACUCCAAACAUUCCAUGCAUCUUUGACCCUCAUGGGCGUGCUGGAAUAUGUGGGGAUUGGCUGCUGGGGUCAAGUUUAGAGGCUGCAGCCUUGAGCGGCAUGGCUCUUGCCAAUCAUGCUGGUGAAAGGAGCCCUCGAAACCUAUUUUUGUUGCAGAGUUUCAAAUUUCCAGUUUUUGACAGAAUCAGUGGAGGAAGAUGCACAGGGUUCAGGCUUCUGUUGAGGCCAUGUUGAAGAAACUCCAAUUAUAAAUGUCGGCUAUUAGUGAUCCUCUUUGCCCUAUGGAGCUGUGAAAGAUUUUCGAAGUAUAAUAACAUCACCCGACACUUUAUCAAGUCGUCAUAUGUAGAAUUUAGACAUGUUCAUGGUUUUCCAUCUUCCACUGGAAGGAUUGUGUACAAAUCAUGAUGCAAAAGAUUUCACCCUUGAGAAUUAUAGAGAAGAUUAGAUCAUGUGAAGUUCCUAGAGCUCUUUAGUCACCGUUGGGAGCCAGACUUGUGCAGAAUCAUUUGGGGAAUUUCUAAAAUAUUCCUAACCAUUGGAUGAAUGCUACAUGUGUUUAUCCUAACCAUUGAUGUAUGGUAGCUAGAAAACUAGACACUGAGGGAGAACCUCAGGAAACGUCAGAAAGUUGUAAGCAAGUGAGCUUGUGAGUAAUAUAAGUCUUCUUCACUAGAAAAAUAUACAAUAGAAAGUUGUGAGCAAGAUGCUCAGAUCCUCUUAAACCAUACAAAAAUAUGGAUUUCUUACGUCCUUCACAGCCAUGGCUGAAGAAAACUUGGUUGACCCAAUAUGUGUAAUCCAGCCAAAACAAAGUACCAAUAUGUGUCAUUUUGGCCCA